UCACUUCUGGAUGGUCCCGCGGCGUAUUAGCUAGAUGGUGGGGUAACGGCUCACCAUGGCAAUGAUACGUAGCCGACCUGAGAGGGUAAUCGGCCACAUUGGGACUGAGACACGGCCCAAACUCCUACGGGAGGCAGCAGUAGGGAAUCUUCCACAAUGGACGAAAGUCUGAUGGAGCAACGCCGCGUGAGUGAAGAAGGGUUUCGGCUCGUAAAACUCUGUUGUUAAAGAAGAACAUAUCUGAGAGUAACUGUUCAGGUAUUGACGGUAUUUAACCAGAAAGCCACGGCUAACUACGUGCCAGCAGCCGCGGUAAUACGUAGGUGGCAAGCGUUGUCCGGAUUUAUUGGGCGUAAAGCGAGCGCAGGCGGCUUUUUAAGUCUGAUGUGAAAGCCUUCGGCUCGACCGAAGAAGUGCUUCUGAAACUGGGAAACUUGAGUUGUAGAACAGGACCGUGGACCCUCCUUGUUUAGGCGGUGAAAUGUCGUCGAUAU
rnacentral:rRNA from 1 species